GUACGUCAGGGUGUGGGACCAAGGAUAACGACCUGUUCUCUACAUCUGGAAAUGUUUAUGAACAUUCACACAGACUGAAUACCUACAAGGUGUCUCGGCUGGUGGUUUGUCAUGUGAAGGACAUUGAAGUGGAUGUGACCGCUAACCUGCAGGAGAGGCUCACCUGGGUGACGGACCUCCUGUCACGUAUCUCCAUGCUUGUGUCUGAGGACCUGUAGAGGCUGUGUCUACAGCUGUGGGGCAGGACAAGUAUGGUAACCUAACCUCACUGUAUGAAGGAGGAGGCUGUGUGUAAGGACACGCAAGACCACUGAACCCUGAACCCUGACCUUUGACCCUCGCACAGCCACCUGCUCCCCUCUCAGGAGAACCUAUGGGCGCCUCUUCCCACUAUAAUCUUUGAACCCCACAUCACUCCCCCGUAUGACCUCAAGGGCAUUCCCUGGAUGGAAAAGUGGAAAUGGUGUAUGGUGUGAAUGAACGGUCUACGCUGGAGCCUUCAACUGGAUGAGUUCAAGCUGAGGGCCUGGCGCAACGUGUGCCGGGAGAUGGUGGCUGGCCACUCCCAACACUCCCGCAUCGGAAUGCUGCUGGACUACCAGGCUGGAAAACUGACGUACUAUGAAGACGGCCGACGCAGCUGCUGACUUCCACUGUGCCUUCACUCAGGAGCUGUUCCCUGCCUGUUGGAUAGGGGAAGGCGUCAGCGUCACCCUCUGCUCGCCAUGACAACAACACGAAAGGGAAUGACCGGGACCUAACAAUCUUUUAUGGAACUAGUCUACAUGACUAUAGACUUAGACAUCGCAACAUGAUACCUGCCCCAUUAUGGUGUCUGCACGGGCAGCACCAUUGAGGCAACCUCCAUUUCAAGUAAAUUGUCUUCUACUACUUCUAUGAGUUGGCAAACAAACUGAAAUGGUUCACACUGCCACCUAGACUGUGUUUGAACAGGUAUAAAGCAAAGGUUGGUGAUUUACUGCCACUUGGGGUUAUGGAAUAUUUUCAUUGGCUGAUACCACCUGUGAUCUGUAUGGAAUUCUGUGAUCUUUCUUUAACCCGUAGGAAGUCCCAUCUCAUCUCCCCUUUUACCCUCAGAAAAGCCUAAAUUCGGCAGGGCAUGGACUCUUCAGGGAUACUGGCCCAUGUUGUCUCCAAUGCUUUCCACAGCUGUGUCAAGUUGGCUGGAUGUCCUUUGGUUGGUCCAUCCUUGAUACACGGGGGAAACUGAGCAUGAAAACCCCAGCAACGUUGCAGUUCUUGGCACAAACCGGUGCGCCGGCCACCCAAUAACAUACCCCGUUCAUAGGCACUUAAAUGAUAUAUCCCUAUUUUUCUCAAACGUCGUGGAAGCUUGGCGUAUUACAAAAACUCUCCCCCUCCCCACCCCCAGCCCCUUUCUCAACAAGCCUAGAGUCACUCCUACUUUGCAUGCUCUCACCCUUUCAUUCUAAAACGUGUGGAUUUGUUUAUAUAGGCAUAGCUAGCUAACUAGCUAGCCAGCCAUUUCAUACAGCUACAGCAGCAGUCCACUAGCUAACCACUGGACACACAGAAUGUCGAGUGAUGAGGUGAAAUAUAACGUUAAACUCCAAAAAGUAUUUGUAUUGUAAAACCAUAUGGCAAGUUAACGUGAUGUGUUCUUUCAGUUCCCUUGCUAGCCUUGUUAACGUUUGCUAAACCAAUGUUAGUUUGACACAAAUAGUUUCAACCUUGUGAAAUUGUUUUGUAAUAGCCAAGGUAUUUAAGAAAGUAUUUCACAUAGCAGGACAUCCAACUAACGUCAUUCAUUGUAUGCGCAGGUUGCAUUGGACAACGUUGAUGAUGGCAGUCCAACUAGCAGGGCUAGAGGGAGAGCCAGGGGCAGAGGACGGACAGGCAGAGGCAGGCAGUAGAGAGACAGAAAUGAGGAUGAGGAGAGUCUUUUUGCUCUCCGACAUGAUAGAAUGGCUGCCACACAGGAAUUCAUCAUCAGGGAGCUGAAUUAUGCAGACAACAAAGAGGUGGUGAGGCGAAUGUUUAAGGGAGAGCCAGGAUUGGUUUUUGAUGUCCUAGAGAUUUACCGACAACGGAAUGGUAAGCCGAGAGAGAGAUGCGGUCAGGGACCAGACUUCUGUGUAAGCCAGCUGCCACAUUUUGCCCAGUACUGCCUAGACAACAGAUAUUUAUGUUUGCACAGGCGGUAAAGGGUUGACGUGCUGGCAGUGGCUGACGCAGCAGAGCCUGGAGAUGACUCCAGGGAAUACCGGCAUGCUGCCUACACAUUUCAACCGUAGAAUUAUGUUUGUGAUGUGGCAGCUUUGUGCAGGAAACUGAGUUGUCAUCCCCAGUUACUGUGUUUGGAGAGUCAGGGAUACCUUCCCUGAUCCCCAUUCUGAGUACACUGGGUUCCACCCUGGGCGCUAGGAUUCUCAAAGUAUUUGGCAUGAUGACGUACUAGUGUUAUGCCCAAAGAAUGUCCAUUGCCAGACACUUAUCAGCAUGACAUUAGUAUGACAUCGUGUCACUUGCUGUGAACAGAACACAACCUCUCCCUCAGUAUGCAUUCUCCACACACAAACACCUGCCAGGUGCAUCUUCAGGACAUCAACCUUCUUACUGGGCACAUCAUGCCAUAUAAAAUAUUCUAAAGGUUGCUUGUUUAUUUCUCACUUUCUCCCGGCACAAUAAAGUUUAAAUGGGAAAAUGUCCGAUUUUUAUUCAUACAUCUGAAAGUGUGCUUGAAUAAAACAUUUCACUUUUUUAUUUUGUAUAUUAGUUUUUUCUGAAUGAAAAGUUUCAAAGACACAAUUGUACACAUUUCAGACAACGUUUGUCUAUAUUGUUUACCGUUGACAUAAUUUUACGGUUGAAAUGUCACCCUCAAAACAACAUUUAACCCCAAUGACUUGUGCCAGUUCAUUGCUGGUAAAUGAGAACUUACUCCAAGCCUUACUAUUCAAGGAGAUGUGGGAAGUCAAGUGAAAUAUAAACAACACUGGAAGCGGGGGGAAGUCUGUGGUCAUGGACGACUCGCUGAUUACGACUUCAAAUAUGUCAUUGAGUUCAUUUGUCCAGGGGUAAUUAAUGUCACCCCAGACAUAAUAUACACCCCUAGAGGCAGAUAGAGCCCCAUGGACACAGGGAUGCUUUACGGUGGUAAAUACACUUGUGGAGAUCAUCUGUACGUACACCCACACCACGUCUCACAAAAACACGGCGAUUGGAAACAAAAAUCUAAAAUUUGGAUUCCAGACCAAAGGACAAAUAUCAACUAGUCUACUGUCCAUUGCUGUGUUUCUUGAACCAGCAAGUUUCUUAUUAUCAUUUGUGUCCUGUAGUAGUGAUUUCUUUGCAACAAAGGCCUGAUUCACACAAGCUCCUCUGAACAGCUUAUGUUGAUGUGUCUGUUGCUUGAACUUGAACUGUGAAGCAUUUAU